rnacentral:rRNA from 1 species
GACAACGCUGGCGGCGUGGAUUAGGCAUGCAAGUCGAACGGUAGGAUACCUUCGGGUGUCUGAGAGUGGCGAACGGGUGAGUAACACAUAGGUGAUCUACCCUCAAGAUUGGGACAACCCAGGGAAACUUGGGCUAAUACCGGAUGAAAGCAGCAGUGAUGUUGUUUGAAAGGUGGCGUAAGCUGCCGUUUGGGGAUGAGCCUGCGCUCUAUUAGUUAGUUGGCGGGGUAAAGGCCCACCAAGGCGAUGAUAGAUAGGCGGCCUUAACGGGUGGUCGCCCACACUGGGAUUGAGAUACGGCCCAGACUCCUACGGGAGGCAGCAGUCGAGAAUAGUCUACAAUGGCCGAAAGGCUGAUAGUGCGACGCCGCGUGAACGAAGAAGCCCUUCGGGGUGUAAAGUUCUUUUAUAUGUGAGCAGUGCUUUCUAUGUGAACAGCAUGGGGAGAGAGAUAUUAGCAUAUGAAUAAGCAACGGCUAACUCCGUG